rnacentral:tRNA from 1 species
GGGCGUUUAGCUCAGUUGGCUAGAGCGCGUGCCUUACAAGCACGAGGCCGGCGGUUCGAGUCCGUCAACGCCCA